CAGCGAUUACGAAUUUUCCUGUUGCUGCCACCGUUCAAAGAUCUCCCCCCAUCACUAUCUUCAUUUAUAUUUCCAUUGACUCGCGCGAAACAACACGGAAUGCUUGAGCGGGGAACGCGGAAGAAGCGUGAAUCGACUGAUAGAAUCCGGACUCAUUGAACGAUGCGGCGUCGUCAAAGGAUGGCGAUUUAUCGUUUUCGUAUUCAACGGAUUAAGCCGUCGUUCGAGGUCCGGCCACGGGGCAUGCAAAUCCACGGUCCAGGCCACAGCGAAAAGAAUACGAUGCAGCCAGUCGGUUGAAUGUCUCGAAUGAUAAUACGGCUUUCAUUGAGGAAACGCGUGCGCUUGCAGUAGCUUACAAACGCGGCACCGUUUGAAUACCAAAUUAAAUGCGGUAAAUACGGUUCGCGGAAUGGCCAGUGGCCAAUUCAAUGUUUCCCAAUCGUGAAAAUGGGACGAUUCUCAUUAAAUAUAGAGCCUUUUGUGUUA